CCCUUAGAUGUCCGGGGCCGCACGCGCGCUACACUGAAGGAAUCAGCGUGGCUUUCUCCCUGACCCGAAAGGGUUGGGAAACCCGUUGAAUCUCCUUCGUGAUAGGGAUUGGGGCUUGAAAUUGUUCCCCAUGAACGAGGAAUUCCCAGUAAGCGCGAGUCAUAAGCUCGCGUUGAUUACGUCCCUGCCCUUUGUACACACCGCCCGUCGCUACUAUCGAUUGAACGGUUUAGUGAGGGCCUCGGAUUGGUCUCGGCCCGCUCUUUACCGGGCGGCGCCGUUGGUCGAGAAGACGCUCGAACUUGAUCGUUUAGAGGAAGUAAAAGUCGUAACA
rnacentral:rRNA from 1 species